rnacentral:rRNA from 1 species
UAUUCCUACGGGAGGCAGCAGUGGGGAAUAUUGCACAAUGGGGGGAACCCCGAUGCAGCGACGCCGCGUGAGUGAAGAAGUAUUUCGGUAUGUAAAUCUCUAUCAGCAGGGAAGAAAAUGACGGUACCUGACUAAGAAGCCCCGGCUAACUACGUGCCAGCAGCCGCGGUAAUACGUAGGGGGCAAGCGUUAUCCGGAUUUACUGGGUGUAAAGGGAGCGUAGACGGCAGAGCAAGUCUGAAGUGAAAGCCCGCGGCCCAACUGCGGGACUGCUUUGGAAACUGUGCUGCUCGAGUGUCGGAGAG